ACACCAUGCUAGGCAGCCGUGUGCCAGAGUCUCCCAGGUCUCCCAAUCAAUUCCAAAGUUCUUCAGACAGACCUUGAGAGUGUCCUGGUAUCGCUUCUUCUGACCUCCAUCCUCCUAAACGCCGAGCUAACUCUGGCAACGCAUGGGUCAACCUCAUCGUCUACAUGCACAUCUCUGGAAAGCAUACCACCAAGGUGUCUGACAACAUCACUGAAAACAACCUGCUACAAAGCAUGGAAGCAAGCACACAGCCCUGCUUCACUCCACUGGUGAUGGGAGUUUGUGAGAGCAUCAUCUACUAUCCCGAACCCGGGCAAGCACGCUGUCACGGAACUGAUGUACAAUACUGAUGAACUUCUCUGGAAAGCCAAUUUUGCCAUGAUCGUCCUCAAGCCCUCAUGACUGACAGUAUCAAAGACCUUGGUCAGAUCGCCAGACUUUGUGUACAGACCUCUGUUCUGCUCCUGGCAGAUGCCCCCCUAACUCACCCAUGGGUCUGAGACCCCUCACUUACCCUCAGCCUGAUUUAGCCCAUCUUCCAAAGUGGCUUUCUGGGGUCUGGCCACGGCAUGUGCCACAGCUUCUUGGAGCCACAGGCGAGAGCUGGGUGGAUCGGGUGGACACCAAAGGUGGAAAGCAGCCCUCACACCAGGGGUACUAGCCUUCCCUGGACACCCCCUACACCCUUCUAAGACCUUAAAGUUGCACAGAAGAUAGAGCCAUAAUCCCCUGCUUCCUUAGAUGUCACAAGAGUGGAAUAAACUAGUUAAACCAUCAUGAUCUCAUAUACCCCCUAAGGAAACAAACUUCAUCCAAUAGCCUGAAUCCUGUUGUAGAGUGGAACAAACUAGUUAAACCGUCAGGAUCUCAUAUACCCCCUAAGGAAACAAACCUCAUCCAACAGACUGAAUCCGUUAUAGAUUAAGCCACACAUGGAGGAUUCACAAUGGGCUAAUUGAGGAGGACUUUUUACCUAUCACCAAGGAGUCAGGGAAGGUUGAUGUUCUUCCUCUGGCUUCUAAUCUAAGGAAUGCUUAAGGCUCUAGAGAAUGUUCACAUCCACUGAGACAGGUUUUGGUCAGCUGUGGUUAAUAUUAACCCAAAGUUGCAGGAGGAAUGAAGGGAAAUCCAAACGUUUGUCCCCAACGUUUGGCCCGAUGGCUAAAGAGCCGGGGGGAACCCUGGGCAGACAGUUCUCUAGCCACUCUCAAGGACCGCUGAGCUCCUGAGCUGAGAAGGUACUCACCUGCAUCAGUGGAGGGAGGUCACUCACCUGGAAGUUCCCUCUUUCAGUGAAUUCUGAGCUCCCGAUCCCUGGGCUAUGGGUCUUUUAACUUUGGCCUCCCAUGCUCUUUCCUCUCUGGGUGAUGAGUUGGCAGCUUUACCUGAGUCUCUGGAAAAGAAAGGAACAAACCAGUAAAACAGACCCUUCAAAAGCAAGAGUGGCACUGGGGGAAGGUGAUGCAGACGCCCACAAGAAAAGCCCCAGCAACUGUCAGGAUGCAUCGGAAUGGGGCCAGGGGCUGAGAUCUUUGGAGGGGCUGCUCUGAGGUCUGCUGAGGAGGCCCGAGAGCUUUGGUGGCUUUGCCAGCAAGGGCUCCAUGACUGUGGGUCAGAGACAGGAGGCCCCACAGAAAGCAGAGAGUUUAUUAGGAAGACUCCGAUUCCAGGGCAGAGAUUCGGCAGCCUGGGUCAGCAACACUGAACAUCCACUUAGGGGAGAAGAGGAAAGCAUUUCCCAGGACAGCGAGGGGUGGAGAGAGAAGGGUCAGCCAAGGGAGACAAGGGGAAAAUCUGGAAAGCCAAGAGAAUUUUCUGAUCUGCUCGAGGGCAGGAGACCAACACUCAUUCCAUUGUAAGAGCAAUCCUUUGGACCAAACUGCAGUCUCUCCCCUCCAAGGACAGCAGUAGCGCUUACAAAGGUGGAUGAGGCCAUCGGCUUGCUCAUGUCCUUACUCCACUAAGGGUCAGGGACUCUUGUGCUGGGGGAUUUCUACACUGGGAGUCUCCCAGGUGAAGCAGUCGAGGCUCCUAUUCCCCCCUCCCCCACCAUCUCCCUGGUAUCAGGAUCAGGUACCCUGUAGACACUUAAUAAA